UAAAACGUAGGAGGCGAGCGUUAUCCGGAUUUACUGGGUGUAAAGCGCGUGCAGGCGGUUUGUUAAGUUGGGUGUGAAAGCUCCUGGCUCAACUGGGAGAGGUCGCUCAAGACUGGCAGACUGGAGCAUGGUAGGGGAAGGUGGAAUUCCGGGAGUAGUGGUGAAAUGCGUAGAUAUCCGGAGGAACACCAGUGGCGAAAGCGGCCUUCUGGACCAUGACUGACGCUCAGACGCGAAAGCCAGGGGAGCAAACGGG
rnacentral:rRNA from 1 species